rnacentral:rRNA from 1 species
UUUAUGGAGAGUUUGAUCCUGGCUCAGGAUGAACGCUGGCGGCGUGCCUAAUACAUGCAAGUCGAGCGAACGGACGAGAAGCUUGCUUCUCUGAUGUUAGCGGCGGACGGGUGAGUAACACGUGGAUAACCUACCUAUAAGACUGGGAUAACUUCGGGAAACCGGAGCUAAUACCGGAUAAUAUUUUGAACCGCAUGGUUCAAAAGUGAAAGACGGUCUUGCUGUCACUUAUAGAUGGAUCCGCGCUGCAUUAGCUAGUUGGUAAGGUAACGGCUUACCAAGGCAACGAUGCAUAGCCGACCUGAGAGGGUGAUCGGCCACACUGGAACUGAGACACGGUCCAGACUCCUACGGGAGGCAGCAGUAGGGAAUCUUCCGCAAUGGGCGAAAGCCUGACGGAGCAACGCCGCGUGAGUGAUGAAGGUCUUCGGAUCGUAAAACUCUGUUAUUAGGGAAGAACAUAUGUGUAAGUAACUGUGCACAUCUUGACGGUACCUAAUCAGAAAGCCACGGCUAACUACGUGCCAGCAGCCGCGGUAAUACGUAGGUGGCAAGCGUUAUCCGGAAUUAUUGGGCGUAAAGCGCGCGUAGGCGGUUUUUUAAGUCUGAUGUGAAAGCCCACGGCUCAACCGUGGAGGGUCAUUGGAAACUGGAAAACUUGAGUGCAGAAGAGGAAAGUGGAAUUCCAUGUGUAGCGGUGAAAUGCGCAGAGAUAUGGAGGAACACCAGUGGCGAAGGCGACUUUCUGGUCUGUAACUGACGCUGAUGUGCGAAAGCGUGGGGAUCAAACAGGAUUAGAUACCCUGGUAGUCCACGCCGUAAACGAU